CUGUAUGGUGCCACCUAACGGACAUAUUCAAAGUGGAAUAUUCCUAUGAAUAUCCUUUAAUUGAUUUCUGUCAUUUUGAAACACGUUUGCUUGAGUUUUGUAUAUAAACAUUACGGAUAAAAAAUGUGAAACUUGAAGUUCAAGUGAUGAACCUUGCGAGGAAAUAGAUGUUAAUCUUCCCAGGUGUAAGAAGGGAAAACGUAAAUAUACAAGAAAAUCUUUAGCUGACACACAAGGUGUUGAAAAACAAAAAAACAAUCGAAAAAAAACAAAAAAAAAGGAAUACUAACAGCAAGGUUUGUGGAAAAACGUUUAACUAUACUGGUAGGAAACGUGAAAAAAAAUUUUUUUCAAAUAAUAAAAUUGGUAACGUUAACUGCCAUGAAAUUGUUUCUGCCACAACCUCUCAAACUCACCAACAACUCACAGAUACUUCUCCUCUAUUUGAAGAGUUAGAUGAAGUUCAACAAAAACUGAUUGAAAAUUUAAAGGAAGACUUUAGAGCUGCUUCAACAAACCAGUUCGGCAAGAAAAGGGGCAAGAGAAAAGAAUGGUAAAAUGUUCGAACUGACAUUUUUGAAAGUUAUGUGUCAAAGCAUCCUUUCAGAAAUACUUGUUGUAAUGUAUGACAAAAAGUUUUGGAGUUAGCUGCUGUUAGAUGCAUGACCUGCAAAUAUCACCUGUGCUGGGAUUGUGAUGAUGUUUUGCAUUGUCGACAACCGUUUCACCAUAGAUAUUUGGUCAAUAAGGAAAUUUUGCAGCCAUUGAAACCUUAUGAGUUUUGGGACAAAGAUUGGAAAUCUGUAUUGAAAGAUAUUUGUGUUCCUUGUUUUGUUCUAUUUCAGUGUGUGAAAUGUAGCGGCAAAGGAAAUAUGAAUC